AGCAGCCGCGGUAAUUCCAGCUCCAAUAGCGUAUAUUAAAGUUGUUGCAGUUAAAAAGCUCGUAGUUGAAUUUCGAGACCGGUUUACUGGUCGUGCUUUUGUACGUACUGGUAUUAUUGGUUUCUCCUUUCUGACGAACUAUAAUGCCAUUAAUUUGGUGUUUUAGGGAAUCAGGACUGUUACUUUGAAAAAAUUAGAGUGUUUAAAGCAGGCUCACGCUUGAAUACAUUAGCAUGGAAUAACGGAAUAGGACGUUUGAUUCUAUUUUGUUGGUUUCUAGGAUCGACGUAAUGAUUAAUAGGGAUAGUUGGGGGCAUUAGUAUUCAAUUGUCAGAGGUGAAAUUCUUGGAUUUAUUGAAGACUAACUACUGCGAAAGCAUUUGCCAAGGAUGUUUUCAUUAAUCA
rnacentral:rRNA from 1 species